ACGAACGCUGGCGGCAUGCCUAACCCAUGCAAGUCGAACGAGAUCCUUCGGGGUCUAGUGGCGCACGGGUGCGUAACGCGUGGGAAUCUGCCCUUAGGUUCGGAAUAACAGUUAGAAAUGACUGCUAAUACCGGAUGAUGACGUUAAGUCCAAAGAUUUAUCGCCUGAGGAUGAGCCCGCGUAGGAUUAGCUAGUUGGUGUGGUAAAGGCGCACCAAGGCGACGAUCCUUAGCUGGUCUGAGAGGAUGAUCAGCCACACUGGGACUGAGACACGGCCCAGACUCCUACGGGAGGCAGCAGUGGGGAAUAUUGGACAAUGGGCGCAAGCCUGAUCCAGCAAUGCCGCGUGAGUGAUGAAGGCCUUAGGGUUGUAAAGCUCUUUUACCCGAGAUGAUAAUGACAGUAUCGGGAGAAUAAGCCCCGGCUAACUCCGUG
rnacentral:rRNA from 1 species